rnacentral:rRNA from 1 species
UACGGAGGGUGCAAGCAUUAAUCGGAUUCAUUGGGCGUAAAGGGUGCGUAGGCGGCGAGGUAAGUCGGGUGUGAAAUUCCGGGGCUCAACCCCGGAACUGCACUCGAUACUGCUUUGCUCGAGGACUGGAGAGGAGAACGGAAUUCACGGUGUAGCAGUGAUAUGCGUAGAUAUCGUGAGGAAGACCGGUGGCGAAGGCGGUUCUCUGGACAGUUCCUGACGCUGAGGCACGAAGGCUAGGGGAGCGAACGGG